AGAGUUUGAUCCUGGCUCAGGAUGAACGCUGGCGGCGUGCCUAAUACAUGCAAGUCGAGCGAACCACUUCGGUGGGAAGCGGCGAACGGGUGAGUAACACGUAGGUGAUCUGCCCAUCAGACGGGGACAACGAUUGGAAACGAUCGCUAAUACCGGAUAGGACGAAAGUUUAAAGAUGCUCCUGGCAUCACUGAUGGAUGAGCCUGCGGCGCAUUAGCUAGUUGGUGGGGUAAAGGCCUACCAAGGCGACGAUGCGUAGCCGACCUGAGAGGGUGAACGGCCACACUGGGACUGAGACACGGCCCAGACUCCUACGGGAGGCAGCAGUAGGGAAUCUUCGGCAAUGGGCGAAAGCCUGACCGAGCAACGCCGCGUGAAUGAAGAAGGCCUUCGGGUUGUAAAAUUCUGUUAUAAGGGAAGAAAGGUGAUAGGAGGAAAUGGCUAUCAAUUGACGGUACCUUAUGAGAAAGCCACGGCUAACUACGUG
rnacentral:rRNA from 1 species